rnacentral:rRNA from 1 species
CAAGUCGAACGAGACUUUUCGUUGUAGCAAUAUGAUGAAAAGUUUAGUGGCGAACGGGUGCUUAACACGUGGGCAACCUGCCAUGAAGUGGGGGAUAGCUCGCCGAAAGGCGAAUUAAUACCGCAUGUGAUUAGAGAGGACAUCCUUUCAAAAUUAAAGUCGGGGCAACCUGACGCUUCUUGUGGGGCCCGCGGCCUAUCAGCUAGUUGGUGAGGUAACGGCUCACCAAGGCUUUGACGGGUAGCUGGUCUGAGAGGACGACCAGCCACACUGGGACUGAGACACGGCCCAGACACCUACGGGUGGCAGCAGUCGAGAAUUUUUGACAAUGGGGGAAACCCUGAUCGAGCGACGCCGCGUGGAGGAUGAAGGUCUUCGGAUUGUAAACUCCUGUCAUUGGGGAACAAGGUACAUACGUUAACUGCGUGCGUAUUGAUAGUACCCGAAGAGGAAGAGACGGCUAACUCUGUGCCAGCAGCCGCGGUAAUACAGAGGUCUCAAGCGUUGUUCGGAUUCAUUGGGCGUAAAGGGUGCGUAGGCGGCGCGGUAAGUCGGGUGUGAAAUCUCGGAGCUUAACUCCGAAACUGCAUUCGAUACUGCCGUGCUUGAGGACUGGAGAGGAGACUGGAAUUUACGGUGUAGCGGUGAAAUGCGUAGAUAUCGUAAGGAAGACCAGUGGCGAAGGCGGGUCUCUGGACAGUUCCUGACGCUGAGGCACGAAGGUCAGGGGAGCAAACGGGAUUAGAUACCCCGGUAGUCCUGACAGUAAACGGUGCACGUUUGGUGGUGGG